GCGCCGAAAAUGUAUCGGGGCUAAGCAUGGCACCGAAGCUUCGGGAUUAUAUUUAUAUAAUCGGUAGGGGAGCGUUCUUAAUACGCUGAAGGCGUUUUGUAAAAAACGUUGGAGAAUUGAGAAGUGAUUAUGCUGACAUAAGUAACGAUAAAACAGGUGAAAAACCUGUUCGCCGUAAACCCAAGGUUUCCUGGGUAAAGGUAAUCUUCCCAGGGUUAGUCGGUUCCUAAGGCGAGGGCGAAAGCCGUAGUCGAUGGAAAACGGGUUAAUAUUCCCGUACCUUUUUGUGUGUGCGAUGAAGGGACGCAGGAGGAUAGGCAAUCCAACUAUUGGAUGUUGGUGCAAGUGCGUAGGCUUGAGGAGUAGGAAAAUCCGCUUCUCUCUAAGGCUGAAACACGAGUCCGUGAGCGCAAGCUCUGAAGUUGUUGAGUCCAUGCUGCCAAGAAAAGCUUCUAAGUUUAGCACAAAAAGACCGUACCGAAAACCAACACAGGUGGGUGGGUAGAAUAUACCAAGGCGCUCGAGAGAACUCUGGUUAAGGAAUUCGGCAAAAUAACCCCGUAACUUCGGGAGAAGGGGUACCCCCCUUGGUGUAGCAAUACGGGCUUCGGGGGGUCGCAGAUAAAUGGCGGUGGCGACUGUUUACUAAAAACAUAGGUCUAUGCUAAGUCGUAAGACGAUGUAUAUGGGCUGACGCCUGCCCGGUGCCGGAAGGUUAAAAGGAGAGGUUAGCGCAAGCGAAGCUUCGAAUUGAAGCCCCGGUAAACGGCGGCCGUAACUAUAACGGUCCUAAGGUAGCGAAAUUCCUUGUCGGGUAAGUUCCGACCUGCACGAAUGGCGUAACGAUCUCCGCACUGUCUCAACCAGAGACUCGGUGAAAUUGAAGUCGCGGUGAAAAUGCCGUGUACCCGCAGCAAGACGGAAAGACCCUGUGCACCUUUACUAUAGCUUGACAUUGAUUUUUGGGCACUCAUGUGUAGGAUAGGUGGGAGACUUUGAAGCGUGUACGCCAGUAUGCGUGGAGUCAACCUUGAAAUACCACCCUUGUGUGUUUAAGGAUCUAAUCCUGACCAGUUAUCCUGGCAGGAGACAAUGUCUGGUGGGUAGUUUGACUGGGGCGGUCGCCUCCCAAAAAAUAACGGAGGCAUGCAAAGGUUCCCUCAGGCUGAUUGGAAACCAGCCGUCGAGUGCAAACGCAUAAGGGAGCUUGACUGCAAGACAGACAUGUCGAGCAGGUACGAAAGUAGGCGCUAGUGAUCCGGUGGUUCCGCAUGGAAGGGCCAUCGCUCAUUGGAUAAAAGGUACGCCGGGGAUAACAGGCUGAUCGCAUCCAAGAGUUCACAUCGACGAUGCGGUUUGGCACCUCGAUGUCGGCUCAUCACAUCCUGGGGCUGAAGCAGGUCCCAAGGGUACGGCUGUUCGCCGUUUAAAGUGGUACGCGAGCUGGGUUUAAAACGUCGUGAGACAGUUUGGUCCCUAUCUGCUGUGGGCGUAGGAGAAUUGAGGGGGCUUGUCCCUAGUACGAGAGGACCGGGAUGAACGAACCACUGGUGCGCCAGUUGUACCGCCAGGUGCAGCGCUGGGUAGCUACGUUCGGAAGGGAUAACCGCUGAAAGCAUCUAAGCGGGAAGCCUGCCCCAAGAUUAAUUCUCCCUAAGAUCCGUAGUAGACCACUACGUUGAUAGGUUGGAUGUGUAAGUGCAGCAAUGCAUUAAGCUUACCAAUACUAAUAGAUCGCUUGACUUAUUUUU
rfam:Desulfovibrio litoralis DSM 11393 genome assembly, contig: EJ49DRAFT_scaffold00024.24